AUUGAACGCUGGCGGCAGGCCUAACACAUGCAAGUCGAGCGGAAGAAGGGAGCUUGCUCCUGGAUUCAGCGGCGGACGGGUGAGUAAUGCCUAGGAAUCUGCCUGGGAGUGGGGGAUAACGUCCGGAAACGGGCGCUAAUACCGCAUACGUCCUGAGGGAGAAAGUGGGGGAUCUUCGGACCCCACGCUAUCAGAUGAGCCUAGGUCGGAUUAGCUAGUUGGUGGGGUAAAGGCCUACCAAGGCGACGAUCCGUAACUGGUCUGAGAGGAUGAUCAGUCAAACUGGAACUGAGGAACGGUCCCAACUCCUAAGGGAGGCAGCAGUGGGGAAUAUUGGACAAUGGGCGAAAGCCUGAUCCAGCCAUGCCGCGUGUGUGAAGAAGGUCUUCGGAUUGUAAAGCACUUUAAGUUGGGAGGAAGGGCAGUAAGUUAAUACCUUGCUGUUUUGACGUUACCAGCAGAAGAAGCACCGGCUAACUUCGUG
rnacentral:rRNA from 1 species